rnacentral:lncRNA from 1 species
AUCCGAUGGAUUUCUCUGCCCCUACACCUGUUGCUGAGACAAUUUCUGAAUUGACAUCGGAGCCAAAAUUUCACAGUGAUGAUUCUGCUCCAGUUCUGCCAGCGGACAUUGAGAAUGUGGAGGAAACUAAGCAAGAAGUGAACCUUCUGACAUCAGAGGCAAUCAGCAAUGCAGUUGAAAGUGUAGAGGAAAAUGGUCCUUCAAACCUUUGCGGGGUUGAACAUGCUCAGAGUGAACCAAGUGAGAACCCAAAUGGAAAUGCUGCAAGUAGCGGUGAACUGACAAACGAUGGAGAGAAAACCUUCAGCAUUUUGAUAAGGGGUAGGAGAAACCGAAAGGCGACUCUGCGAAUGCCAAUCAGUUUGCUCAGUCGACCGUAUGGCUC